rnacentral:pre_miRNA from 1 species
GAAUGUGUGUAUGGUGUUCAGGACCAAGAACAGGUAUUUUUAAAUUUGUGUGAGGCAGACAUACUUGCACCUGUGUGUUGAUGGUGUUCAGUACCACGGAGAGGUGUGUUUGCCU